rnacentral:rRNA from 1 species
GUGGGGAUCAAACAGGAUUAGAUACCCUGGUAGUCCACGCCGUAAACGAUGAGAACUGGUUUUUGGGGGUAUUGACUCCCUCAGAAACGAAGCUAACGCGUUAAGUUCUCCGCCUGGGAAGUACGGUCGCAAGACUAAAACUCAAAGAAAUUGACGGGGGCCCGCACAAGCGGUGGAUUAUGUGGUUUAAUUCGAAGCAACGCGCAGAACCUUACCUAGGCUUGAAAUCCUACAAAUUCGGGGUAAUGCCUGAAGUGCCCUUCGGGGAAUGUAGAGACAGGUGCUGCAUGGCUGUCGUCAGCUCGUGUUGUGAAAUGUUGGGUUAAGUCUCGCAACGAGCGCAACCCCUAUCUUUAGUUGCCAGCAUUAAGUUGGGCACUCUAGAGAGACUGCCUGGGUUAACCAGGAGGAAGGUGGGGAUGACGUCAAGUCCUCAUGGCCCUUAUGUCUAGGGCUACACACGUAAUACAAUGGUACGAACAAAGGGAAGCGAACUCGCGAGGGGGAGCAAAUCUCAAAAAACGUAUCUCAGUCCGGAUUGAAGUCUGCAACUCGACUUCAUGAAGUUGGAAUCGCUAGUAAUCGCGGAUCAGAACGCCGCGGUGAAUACGUUCCCGGGCCUUGUACACACCGCCCGUCACACCAUGGAAGUUGGUUCAAUCUUAAGACGUGACUCUAACCGCAAGGGGGAGAGCGUCUACGGUGGGACCGAUGACUGGGGUG